rnacentral:misc_RNA from 1 species
UACAGAGGGUGCGAGCGUUAAUCGGAUUUACUGGGCGUAAAGCGUGCGUAGGCGGCUUUUUAAGUCGGAUGUGAAAUCCCCGAGCUUAACUUGGGAAUUGCAUUCGAUACUGGGAAGCUAGAGUAUGGGAGAGGCAGCUGGAAUUCUCGGUGUAGCAGUGAAAUGCGUGGAGAUCUGGAGGAAUACCGAUGGCGAAGGCAGCCAUCUGGCCUAAUACUGACGCUGAGGUACGAAAGCAUGGGGAGCAAACAGG